rnacentral:rRNA from 1 species
GACGAACGCUGGCGGCGUGCCUAAUACAUGCAAGUAGAACGCACAGUUUAUACCGUAGCUUGCUACACCAUAGACUGUGAGUUGCGAACGGGUGAGUAACGCGUAGGUAACCUGCCUGGUAGCGGGGGAUAACUAUUGGAAACGAUAGCUAAUACCGCAUAAUAUUAAUUAUUGCAUGAUAAUUAAUUGAAAGGUGCAAUUGCACCACUACCAGAUGGACCUGCGUUGUAUUAGCUAGUAGGUGAGGUAACGGCUCACCUAGGCGACGAUACAUAGCCGACCUGGGAGGGUGAUCGGCCACACUGGGACUGAGACACGGCCCAGACUCCUACGGGAGGCAGCAGUAGGGAAUCUUCGGCAAUGGACGAAAGUCUGACCGAGCAACGCCGCGUGAGUGAAGAAGGUUUUCGGAUCGUAAAGCUCUGUUGUAAGAGAAGAACGGGUGUGAGAGUGGAAAGUUCACACUGUGACGGUAUCUUAACAGAAAGGGACGGCUAACUACGUG